CUCCUACGGGACGCAGCAGUGGGGAAUAUUGCACAAUGGGGGAAACCCUGAUGCAGCGACGCCGCGUGAGUGAAGAAGUAAUUCGUUAUGUAAAGCUCUAUCAGCAGGGAAGAAAAUGACGGUACCUGAGUAAGAAGCCCCGGCUAACUACGUGCCAGCAGCCGCGGUAAUACGUAGGGAGCGAGCGUUAUCCGGAAUUAUUGGGUGUAAAGGGUGCGUAGACGGGAACUUAAGUUAGUUGUGAAAUCCCUUAGCUCAACUAAGGAAUGGCAACUGAAACUGGGUUUCUUGAGUGCAGGAGAGGG
rnacentral:rRNA from 1 species